rnacentral:rRNA from 1 species
UACGUAGGUGGCGAGCGUUGUCCGGAUUUAUUGGGCGUAAAGCGCGCGCAGGUGGUGCGGUAAGUCUGUCGUGAAAUCUCCUGGCUCAACUGGGAGGGUGCGGUGGAGACUGCCGGACUGGAGGCACUCAGAGGCCGGUGGAAUUCCCGGUGUAGUGGUGAAAUGCGCAGAUAUCAGGAGGAACACCAAUGGCGAAGGCAGCUCGCUGGGACGGUACUGACGCUGAGGCGCGAAAGCGUGGGGAGCAAACAGG